UCUAGCCACUGCAUUUAUGUUCAUUGUGUCCCGGAAGUGAGGUUGCAGAAGUUUGUAUAUUGGAUGAAGCACACUUAGAUGCCUAUUUGUUGCAAUCACAAAUGGCUCGAUCGCUGCAUGGGUGUGCAACCUAUGAAGAAAAUUUCAUACCAGUGGCUGAUAAGCUGGUGAAUGCCAGAAUCAAUUACAGCCACAUAUGCUUUAGCCAGUUGCCAUAUGGAACCUUCAAUGCCAUGCUCAGCUGGUGUGCAUACUUUGCUAAUGGCACCGAGUUUAUCUCCCUCAGGAUGAGGCAAGCUUAAUUCGAUCGCAAGAGGCUUAAGAGUACCAUCAUCUUUCAAGAAAAGUAGGGUCCUGGUUGCAUAUGUCUUUGUGGAAGUAGCAUUUAUCCGCCUCAGGUAUGGCAUGACUGUAUCAUGGUGAUCUAAUAUGUAUAGCUUCUUGUUCUUGAUUGCCUUCACCACCAUUAAUACAACAAAUGUUCAAUUGUGGGAUUGAUUAAAUUCAACUAAUCCCGACAAGAACAUCAUUGAUUUUGAUUGUAAACUCAGUUGUGAAAGAAACGAAAAAGAGUAGCAUUACCUCA